ACGGAAGGCAGCAGCUAAGAAUAUUCCGCAAUGGACGAAAGUCUGACGGAGCGACGCCGCGUGGAUGAUGAAGGCCGAAAGGUUGUAAAAUCCUUUUGAACUGGAAGAAUAUGCAGUGCAGGUAAUGGCAUUGUGGUGACGGUACAGUUUGAAUAAGCAACGGCUAAUUACGUGCCAGCAGCCGCGGUAACACGUAAGUUGCGAGCGUUGUUCGGAAUUAUUGGGCGUAAAGGGCAUGUAGGCGGUUAUCUAAGCUUGGUGUGAAAGGCAGGGGCUUAACUCCUGGACUGCAUUGAGAACUGGAUAGCUAGAGUUACUGAAGUGGAACCAGAACUCCAGGUGUAGGGGUGAAAUCUGUAGAUAUCUGGAAGAAUACCAAUGGCGAAGGCAGGUUUCAGGCAGAUAACUGACGCUGAGGUGCGAAGGUGCGGGGAGCAAACAGGAUUAGAUACCCUGGUA
rnacentral:rRNA from 1 species